rnacentral:rRNA from 1 species
AGAACGAACGCUGGCGGCAUGCCUAACACAUGCAAGUCGAACGAGACCUUCGGGUCUAGUGGCGCACGGGUGCGUAACGCGUGGGAAUCUGCCCUUAGGUACGGAAUAACAGUGAGAAAUUACUGCUAAUACCGUAUGAUGUCUUCGGACCAAAGAUUUAUCGCCUAGGGAUGAGCCCGCGUUGGAUUAGCUAGUUGGUGGGGUAAAGGCCUACCAAGGCGACGAUCCAUAGCUGGUCUGAGAGGAUGAUCAGCCACACUGGGACUGAGACACGGCCCAGACUCCUACGGGAGGCAGCAGUGGGGAAUAUUGGACAAUGGGCGAAAGCCUGAUCCAGCAAUGCCGCAUGAGUGAAGAAGGCCUUCGGUUGUAAAGCUCUUUUACCCGGAAGAUAAUGACUGUACCGGAGAAUAAGCCCGGCUAACUCCGUGCCAGCAGCCGC